AAUAAGCCAAGUUUACCCAGGGACUGGACCCAUGAUUUCACAGAUCUAAGAAACUUUCAGAUGAGGAAACCCUUCUUACCAAUUCAGGUCUUAUUCAAUACCGGUGAUAAUGAUGUAAUGGAGAAUCUCUCUGAGACUAUAAACCUGACCUGGGAUAUCAAAUGGAAGACCUAUUUUAAUGAGUCUUCUCAUUCAACGCAUUCUUAAGAAGUCAGAAGGGUAAGGUAGUUCCAGAGUCCUCCAAGGAGAGAGGUACUAUAAGAAUGGCAAGGGGACCUGGAUAGGAUCCUGCAUGUUUGAUGGACAAGCAGCUUGGUGGCAGAUGACAGAGAGUAAAGGAUUGUGAGAAGUGUGAGCUGAGGCCAAGUUCAGAACUUCCAGCUCUGGAAGGGGAAGAGAGAAGACUUUUUCUGGGUGGCUGAGGGGAUCCGAAGUCACGAGAGGGAGAAGAGCCAGAAUUUCCUGCCUAUCUGUGAACCUGUUUCCAUCAAAGAAUUUUCUACUACCUUUCCUCAUCCUCCUACAAAAACCCUUGACUUGGAAGGAGUUUGGUUUGGACUCUCUCAUCAGAGCUAGCCUACCUACUCCCUUCUGGGUCUCCCUUUUGCUGUCUUUGAAUUUGAUAAUAAUUUGGACUUAGAGAGAUAAAGAGAUAUUAACUUAGAAAUAAAGAAGACUGACAGCUGGAAGGAGGCAGAAUCCUUUGGUACUCAGAUUCAAACCUCAAGAUCCUGCUGUUGGGGGGUUUAGCUUGUCAGGGGAUCCUUUUCCCCUUUCCCAUCAAUACCUUCCUUUCCCUUUUCCAAAAUAAAUCUUAGUUAAGUCAGAUCUGGGUUUGGCCCAUCUUCAUUAACAGAAAGAGGUUGAGAGAUAAA